rnacentral:rRNA from 1 species
AACGAACGCUGGCGGCAUGCCUAACACAUGCAAGUCGAACGAGACCUUCGUGUCUAGUGGCGCACGGGUGCGUAACGCGUGGGAACCUGCCCUUAUGCUCGGAAUAACUCUCCGAAAGGGGUGCUAAUACCGGAUAACGUCUGCGGACCAAAGAUUUAUCGCGUUUGGAUGGGCCCGCGUUCGAUUAGCCAGUUGGUAGGGUAAAAGCCUACCAAGGCGACGAUCCAUAGCUGGUAUGAGAGGAAGAGCAGCCACACUGAGACUGGGAUACGGCCGAGAAUCCUACGGGAGGCAGCAGAGGGGGAUAUUGGACAAUGGGCGAAGGCCUGAUCCAGCAAUGCCGCGUGAGUGAUGAAGGCCUUAGAGUUGUAAAGCUCUUUUACCCGGGAUGAUAAUGACAGUACCGGGAGAAUAAGCACCGGCUAACUCCGUG